UAUUUGAGAGGAGGACAGCUCUUUGCGCAUGUGCGGGGGACUACCGAUGAAGCCAGGCCUCCAGACGAACAAGUUUACGCGCCAGCAAGCAAUCAAACUUCAUUCGGCCGGGUGCCGUCUUACUUUUUUCUGUAAGACGAGUCGGGUUGGCGUGAACAAGUUCGCUAUAGGAAACAAAAGGAGGACUGCUGCUCUGCUGGGUCUGCCACACUACCUAAGAGAAGAGCCAUAAGGCAUCAUCAGGAUGUGUGACGCCCAUGGUGAGACUGGCUGCAGCCAUGGAGGGGAUGCAACUUGGCCUGUUGAUAGGCUAUGAAGGUGACAACCAGGAUGCUUUUCCACGUGAGGUCUUCAAUGUGGCAGUUGUGGUUGAGGAGACUGUUGUGCUUCACAACUUCAAGGACGUGCCAUCCAGCUUUGCCAUGCUUUUGGGGAUCAUCUACUGCGUUAACCUUGAGUAUCCACGAGCCAUGAAGUAUUCCUUUGAGUUCCUUCAGAGGGUAGUGAUGAAGAUCAAACCAGAUCAAGCCUCUGCCAGAGUCCACGGCAUCCGAAACAAGCUCCUGAGGUAUAAUUUGUAAACCGUUCCCCACCCUAGAAUAGGGUACAUUUGUUUCUGUUGACAUGCAUACCAAAGUUACAGGCAAAAGCACUUAAGCAAACAGGAGAGGAGCCCUGAUUUUUUUGUUGCACUUGGUACAUUUACUUUUGUUGGACUGAAUACAUUUAAUGCUGAAUAUUGUCCAAAUUGUGGGGUCAAAGUAUACUGCAUUCAAGUAUUUGAACAGAACCAGCUUCAGUCUGAAGUUUUAGUUUGUUUGUGUUUGGGGUUCAGCACAGCUUUUGGUAUAAGUCAGCUGGAUCUGUGAGAUUCAUGUAAAACCUUUUUUUUAAUGUUUACAUUUAAAACCUGUUCAAUAUUUCAGUGUUGUGUAAGGAAAAAAGCUAAUGCUUUUGAAGGAAUGUAUUUUUUGUUGGGUGAAUAUGAAGUGUUCAGUACAGCUUUGGGUGACCUAAUGGGGAUAUGACAAGCAGAGGGGUGUGCACGCGCAUAUAGGUGAGAUGUUUCCUGCAGUGAUCAUCAGUCAACUUAACCUCAUUAGGUCACACACCAAUAACAAUGAUAAACAAUUUAGAUGACAGGCUGGGAUUUCUUUUUUUUUUUGAUGUGCAGAAUAUAGAUAUCUAUACUGCUGUAUGUGUCUAUUGGUCUAUCUAGCCUACAUUCAGCAUGACCAACUUCUUGGUUGACAACAGGCAGUGCAGACAACUGCAGGAAACACUUCCCAUCAUCCACCACCCAUACACACACUGAGAAAUACUUGUGGAGUCUGCUUGGGAUACCCCCUCAUAGUGUAAGCUCACACAUUACCCUUCUAUUUAUCUCAGCCUCAUUAUAUGACCCACCCCCAACUGAAGUUUGGUACCGAAUAAAGUUUUGAUUACAAGUUUGAGAUGAUUGCAUGAUUGAAGUGUUUAUGUAUAGCUUGU